rnacentral:rRNA from 1 species
UUGAAACCAGGAUUAGAUACCCUAUUAUAACUUUAUUUUAAAUUAUAUUAUCAGGGUAGUAAACAGUUAUAAUCUUGAAACUCAAAGGAUUUGGCGGUAGCUUAGUCUGCUUAGAGGAACCUGUCCUGUAAACGACAAACCACGAAUUAUCUUACCUUGUUUUGUAAAUAUAUCAGUUUGUAUACCGUCAUUAUUAGAUAACUUUAUUAAAAUAUUAGUUAUUGUAAUAAGAAGUUCUUAAAAUAUUAGAUCAAGGUGCAGCUAAUAAUAAGGUAGAGAUGGGUUACAAUAAAUAAAAUUAUUACGGAGAAGAAGUAUAAAAUCUUUUUUAAAGGAGGAUUUAAAUGUAAAAGUAUUUUAAUAAAGUUACUUUGACUUUAGCUCUAAGCUAUGUACAUAUCGCCCGUCGCUA